AUGAUUCCCCUUAUUGGAGAAACCUUGAAAAAUAAGCAAUCUCCCAUUACAAAUUCUAUAUUCUUCCUCUUGUUGUCAGCAUAAUUUUUCAUUUGACUUUGGGCAGUAAGAAGAUUUCAUCAGAUGAUAAAAAUCUUACAAAUAGUCUCCUAGACUAGGUCCGAUACUAACAUAUGUAUCUUCCCAACUUCGUCCCGACAUGAAGGAGAACAAUAGGGUCUACCGUACAAUGCCUCACAAGGUGCCAUCCCUAUAUUGACUAAAACUUGUUAUUGUAGACAAACUCUACUAAUGUCAAGUACCUACUCUAUUCAUCUCAAAAAUCAAACAUACAAGCUCUCA
rnacentral:lncRNA from 1 species